rnacentral:rRNA from 1 species
AAGGAUUCGGUGGAAACAUCGAGCCAACUUUACUAAGGAAGCUCCUAGUCUAAAAGUCUACCUUUUUGAUUAGAUCUCAAAUCAGGCAGGAUUACCCGCUGAACUUAAGCAUAUCAAUAAGCGGAGGAAAAGAAACUAACAAGGAUUCCCCUAGUAGCGGCGAGCGAAGCGGGAAAAGCUCAAAUUUGUAAUCUGGCGCCUUCGGCGUCCGAGUUGUAAUCUCGAGAAGUGUUUUCCGUGAUAGACCGCAUACAAGUCUCUUGGAACAGAGCGUCAUAGUGGUGAGAACCCAGUACACGAUGCGGAUGCCUAUUACUUUGUGAUACACUUUCGAAGAGUCGAGUUGUUUGGGAAUGCAGCUCAAAUUGGGUGGUAAAUUCCAUCUAAAGCUAAAUAUUGGCGAGAGACCGAUAGCGAACAAGUACCGUGAGGGAAAGAUGAAAAGCACUUUGGAAAGAGAGUUAACAGUACGUGAAAUUGUUGGAAGGGAAACACAUGCAGUGAUACUUGCUAUUCGGGGCAACUCGAUUGGCAGGCCCGCAUCAGUUUUCCGGGGUGGAAAAGCACAGAGAGAAGGUAGCAGUUUCGGCUGUGUUAUAGCUCUUUGUUGGAUUCACCCUGGGGGAUUGAGGAACGCAGCGUGCUUUUUGCAUGAGCUUCGGCUUAUCCACGCUUAGGAUGCGGGUUUAUGGCUGUAUAUGACCCGUCUUGAAACACGGACCAAGGAGUCUAACAUGCUUGCGAGUAUUUGGGUGUCAAACUCGGAUGCGCAAUGAAAGUGAAUGGAGGUGGGAAGCGCAA